rnacentral:lncRNA from 1 species
CCACUCCCAGGUUUAGGUGAUUCUCAUGUGGAGGCCAUAUUUUAAAGGAGGGCUUUGAUAAAUCCAAGUAUUGGAAACCAUGUUCUAUGAAGCUGAGGAGAUUAACUUUCCUAUCAUCUAGUUGAAACUGGUUCCAAGUUACUCAGAAUAUUGAGGUCCUAGAACACAGUUAUUUUGGCAUAUACCCUAGUUGUUUUUCAAGACAGCUGCUCACACAUAAUAUUUAAAAGGCUAUUAACAUACAGAAGAGGAAACCGACUUGUUAUGUUCAAGAAUGCCAGACUAGAGGCCAGGUGCAGUGGCUCAUGCCUGCAAUCCCAGCACUUUGGGAGUCUGAGGUGGGUGGAUCACCUGAAGUCAGGAGUUCGAGACCAG